rnacentral:rRNA from 1 species
GAUGAACGCUGGCGGCGUGCCUAAUACAUGCAAGUCGAGCGAACAGACGAGGAGCUUGCUCCUCUGACGUUAGCGGCGGACGGGUGAGUAACACGUGGAUAACCUACCUAUAAGACUGGGAUAACUUCGGGAAACCGGAGCUAAUACCGGAUAAUAUAUUGAACCGCAUGGUUCAAUAGUGAAAGACGGUUUUGGUGUCACUUAUAGAUGGAACCGCGCCGCAUUAGCUAGUUGGUGAGGUAACGGCUUACCAAGGCGACGAUGCGUAGCCGACCUGAGAGGGUGAUCGGCCACACUGGAACGGAGACACGGUCCAGACUCCUACGGGAGGCAGCAGUAGGGAAUCUUCCGCAAUGGGCGAAAGCCUGACGGAGCAACGCCGCGUGAGUGAUGAAGGUCUUCGGAUCGUAAAACUCUGUUAUUAGGGAAGAACAAAUGUGUAAGUAACUAUGCACGUCUUGACGGUACCUAAUCAGAAAGCCACGGCUAACUACGUG